UGAACUCUCAAAGCCCACAUCUUGAUGUGGCUUUGGACUUGGGGGCUUUUGCAGGCUUUUAAUGAAAGGCCUGCUCUCCUGAAAUUCAUUAGUGGUACCUGGAGUGGAAACCGCUAGGCGUUGAUAACAUUCAUCUAUGCCUUUGGUAUGCCGCGCAAAUGGGCUGCUUCGAAAACGCACAUGCUCUUGACAA
rnacentral:misc_RNA from 1 species